GACAGAGGCCUCGAGCGUUAGGCGGAAUCACUGGGCUUAAAGCGUGUGUAGGCGGGCCCGUAAGUGUCUUGUGAAAUCCCACGGCUCAACCGUGGAACUGCUGGGCAUACUGCGGGUCUUGGGCCAACUAGGGGCAGCCGGAACAAGCGGUGGAACGGUGAAAUGCGUAGAUAUCGCUUGGAACGCCGAAGGUGAAAACAGGCUGCUGGGGUUGCGCCGACGCUGAGACACGAAAGCCAGGGGAGCAAACGGG
rnacentral:rRNA from 1 species